UACGUAGGGGGGCGAGCGUUGUCCGGAUUUAUUGGGCGUAAAGAGCGUGUAGGCGGCCAGGUAGGUCUGCUGUGAAAACUCGAGGCUCAACCUCGAGACGUCGGUUGAAACCAUCUGGCUAGAGUCCGGAAGAGGAGAGUGGAAUUCCCGGUGUAGCGGUGAAAUGCGCAGAUAUCGGGAAGAACACCCGUGGCGAAGGCGGCUCUCUGGGACGGUACUGACGCUGAGACGCGAAAGCGUGGGGAGCGAACAGG
rnacentral:rRNA from 1 species